rnacentral:lncRNA from 1 species
UAAUUCCAAAUUUCUUGGGAUGAGACUCUGAUUGGUCCAACUUGGGUCAGGUGCUCAUUCCUGGUCUAAUCAACUGUGAGGAGGAGAGUGGAGUCAAGCUGUAUGAACAAGUCUCACUGGCCCCCCCUCUUGCAACUUUGGAGUUGUACUGUCUGGAGGCCAAGGGGAAAGGAGGAGCAGUAUGAACUGGAUGGACACCACAACAGAUGUCUUUUGUCAGGCAGACAUAUUAGUACUGAAGGCUAUUUUUUUAAUGAAAGAAAAAACAGAGGCCAAACGUCAAGAUGGUGUAACCAAAGAUGGAAACAGCCUGGAUGUCAGGCGUGCUUGGAAGGGAGCUGUCCGGAAGAGCCACAGUACCUGAAGCCAACUUUGUGUGGGUGAAAAAGAAACUGUAAUGGGUUAAACCAAUAAAAGUUUUGGACUGUUUAUUUCUACA